rnacentral:rRNA from 1 species
GUGGGGAAUAUUGGACAAUGGGCGAAAGCCUGAUCCAGCCAUGCCGCGUGUGUGAAGAAGGUCUUCGGAUUGUAAAGCACUUUAAGUUGGGAGGAAGGGCAGUAAGUUAAUACCUUGCUGUUUUGACGUUACCGACAGAAUAAGCACCGUCUAACUUCGUGCCAGCAGCCGCGGUAAUACGAAGGGUGCAAGCGUUAAUCGGAAUUACUGGGCGUAAAGCGCGCGUAGGUGGUUUUGUAAGUUGGAGGUGAAAUCCCCGGGCUCAACCUGGGAACUGCCUCCAAAACUGCAUGACUAGAGUACGGUAGAGGGUAGUGGAAUUUCCUGUGUAGCGGUGAAAUGCGUAGAUAUAGGAAGGAACACCAGUGGCGAAGGCGACUACCUGGACUGAUACUGACACUGAGGUGCGAAAGCGUGGGGAGCAAACAGGAUUAGAUACCCCUGUAGUCC